CGGGGGGGCAAGCGUUGUUCGGAAUUACUGGGCGUAGAGGGUGCGUAGGCGGCUUUCUAAGUCGGAUGUGAAAACUCUGGGCUCAACCCAGAGCCUGCAUCUGAAACUGGAGAGCUAGGGUUCUGGAGGGGAAAGCGGAAUUCCUGGUGUAGCGGUGAAAUGCGUAGAUAUCAGGAGGAACACCGGUGGCGAAGGCGGCUUUCUGGACAGAUACCGACGCUGAGGCACGAAAGCUAGGGGAGCAAACAGGACUAGAUACCCUGGUAGUCCUAGCCCUAAACGAUGGAUACUUGCUGUGGGGGGGAUUGAAGCCCCUUGUGGCGAAGCUAACGCAUUAAGUAUCCCGCCUGGGGAGUACGGUCGCAAGGCUG
rnacentral:rRNA from 1 species